CAGCACUCAGAAGAAACCAGCUCUGCUGACACUUUGAGUUCAGACUUUUAUCCUCCAGAACUGUGAGACUAUACAGUUUUGUUGUUUAAGACCCCCGGUUUGUAGUACUUUGUUACAGCAGUCCUAGCCAGUGAAUACAGGUAUAUUAUGAGGACUUUAGUCUUUUACUUCUUUUUUCCUUACAAGUUUUUUAAAUAGAAAAGUAGAAGUAAGAAAAUAAAGCAGAAAAAAAG
rnacentral:lncRNA from 1 species